GACGAACGCUGGCGGCGUGCUUAACACAUGCAAGUCGAACGAAAAGGCCCCCUUCUGGGUUCUCCGAGGGUCGAAGGGGUGGGUAACGCGAGAGUAACCUACCCUUGCUUUUGGGAUAAGUUCAGUAAACGGGGGCGAAUCCCGGAUAGGAUCUCCUGUUGCAUGGUGUGGUUUGAUAAUUUUGGGCGGUUGGGGCUGGACUCGUGGCUUAUGAGGCUGUUGGUUGGGUAGUUGGUCACCAAGGCGUUGACGGGUGGCCGGCCUGAGAGGGUGACCGGCCACAUUGGGACUAAGAUACGGCCCAGACGCCUACGGGAGGCAGCAGUGGGGAAUAUUGCAGAAUGGGCGGAAGCCUGAUGCAGAAACGUCGCGUGCGGGAUGAUGGCCUUCGGGUUGUAAACAGAUUUCGAAUGUGCCGAAGAGUGAGUGACGGUAAUGGGUAAAGAAGCACCGGCUAACUACGUG
rnacentral:rRNA from 1 species